rnacentral:rRNA from 1 species
CCCUUAGAUGUUCUGGGCUGCACGCGCGCUACACUGGUGCACUCAACAAGUUUACAACCUUGAUCGAUAGGUCUGGGUAAUCUUUUGAAUAUGCACCGUGCUAGGGAUAGAUUAUUGCAAUUAUUAAUCUUGAACGAGGAAUUCCUAGUAAAUGCAAGUCAUCAGCUUGCGUUGAUUACGUCCCUGCCCUUUGUACACACCGCCCGUCGCUCCUACCGAUUGAAUGGUCCGGUGAAGCGUUCGGACCGUGGCCUUUGGACGGUUCGCCGUCUGUUGGCUGCGGGAAGUUCGUUAAACCUUAUCAUUUAGAGGAAGGAGAAGUCGUAACA